AUGGGAUAUCCUCUGUGCAAGAGUUUGAAUGUAUUAGGCUCCAAUUCUGUUCUGUAAUUGUAGGUGUUUGACCUUUGGGUAUUUGAGGCUAUCCUACCUGCUUUCCAUCUGCUGCUCUGGAAUGGGUCCUGCUAGCCUCAUGUGAAUGUCCUGAGUACUCUGCAGGCCCAGUACAGUAUCAAGGUACAUUGCUGUCUGUUGCCAGAGCACUUGUUCCCCAUUGGGUAUGCCAAGUGAUUCAUCCAUGGAAAACUGAAAACACUCAUUUAUUUCUCCACUCAAAGCUGUGACACAGA
rnacentral:lncRNA from 1 species